rnacentral:lncRNA from 1 species
UUUGUAUCUUUGCCCUGGUGUUGAGCUGAAUUGAACCAGUGUUGCUUGCCCCCUACAGCCUUGGAAAUAUAAUCUCAGGAUGCAAAUAUAAAGAAAGAUGAACAUUCAUUUCGAUUUACAGACUCUGUGCUAAUCAAAUGAUAGGGUUUAUCUGUUGUCUCCAAGUUUUUAGUGAGGCCAGAGGCAUAUGGGGAAUAAUUUUUUCUAGUGAAAUCGUCAUGUGUGCAACAACAAAAGAAGUUGAUAAUCAGCUUGAAUUCUUUGAUAGAAAGAUACAAUGUCACUAAAGAACGCAUAAAACAUUAGAAAAAAAAUUUAAGCAUCGAUUGAUUGUAAUUUAUCAUACACAUUGCAGGAAUAGAGAGAACUUUGAUACUGAUACAAAAUGAUCACUUAUUUAUGCACAAAACCAUAUCUCAAAGAAACAAUAAAUAAAUUUAUGCACAAACACAAAGAAAACCACACAAGAGACAAAAAAAGAAAUAAAUGGAAUCACUUCCAUUACUUCGCGCUGAUAUGUACACAUUUUAUUAUUGCUCUUAAAUUCUCGCUAGCAAAAUCAAUGAAACGAAAAAAAGUAGAAGCAAAUAUUUAUUUACAGUACAAAAGCUAAAGUUUUCAGGCUAGAAAUCUACCAUUUUUUUGUGGUUUUUACUCGACGAGCGCGGCGAAGCAGCUCUCCGUCCGCGCGAGCNNN